UUAUGGCUCAGGAUGAACGCUAGCGGCAGGCUUAACACAUGCAAGUCGAGGGGCAGCGGGAUGUAGCAAUACAUUGCCGGCGACCGGCGGAUGGGUGCGUAACGCGUAUGCAACCUACCUUAUACAGGGAAUAACCUUUCGAAAGGGAGACUAACACCCAUGGUAUUGAUUUAAGGCAUCUUAGAUUAAUUAAAUAUUUAUAGGUAUAAGAUGGGCAUGCGUAUGAUUAGCUAGUUGGUAAGGUAACGGCUUACCAAGGCGACGAUCAUUAGGGGUUCUGAGAGGAAGGUCCCCCACACUGGUACUGAGACACGGACCAGACUCCUACGGGAGGCAGCAGUGAGGAAUAUUGGUCAAUGGGCGCAAGCCUGAACCAGCCAUGCCGCGUGCAGGAAAAGACGGCCUUAUGGGUUGUAAACUGCUUUUACAUAAGACUAACCGUAUAUUUGCGAAUAUACCUGAAUGUAUUAUGAGAAUAAGGAUCGGCUAACUCCGUGCCAGCAGCUGC
rnacentral:rRNA from 1 species